rnacentral:lncRNA from 1 species
GGGGAGAGGGUGCGGGUGUCCUAGAUCUCUGACCUUCUUCGUCCAUCGCAGCCUGGCCCCUCUUUCUUCUGAUGCCUCCUCAGUGUGUCUCUGUGUCUCGUUCUCAGGGUCUCUCCCAGUCAGGCGCUCUCCACCUAUCUCUCUCUCUGGGUCUCUGCCUCUCUCUCCUUCUGCACCUGCUUUUCCAUGUCCAGCCACCUUCUACCCAUCAGAGCCCUCUCCCCUAAAUCCUCUUGUUAUUUACUCUCGUCCAUUCUCUCUCCAUCUUUUUCUCUCUCUAGAGCAUCCUUCUCUUUAUUAAGACCUUGCCCCCACCCCCCCAUUUCUAUCUUCCUUUCUCUCCCCCCUCCCCAGUCUCUGUCUCUUCCCAUCUGUCUCUCCUCCUCCUCUCUGGAUGACUCUGUCCCUGUCUCUUCUUUCCUUCUGUUAUCCCAUUCUGACCCCCCAUCCGCUCCCGUACCCCAUCCCCCAUCAGUCCCCCAGCCUCUGGGUUUCUCUCUUUGUGACUCUGUCUCUGUCCCCUUCCCUCUCUGGUUAUUUCUCUGUGUGUGUGUCUCUCUCCAACUUCCUUCUGCCACCAGCCGCUGCCUCCCCCAAAUUUCUCCCUCCCCCAUUUCUGUUUCACAGUCUCUGGGCUUCUCUUUUUCCACUUCUCCUUGUCUCUCCCUGUCUCUCUCCCUCCCUCUCUGGGUCUCUCUCUCUUUUUCCUCAGCUUCCUUCUGCCACCCAGACCCUGCCCCCCAAUCCUUUCCCUCCCCCCACCUCCUCUCCGUGGCUCCCCCAUCCUCAGCGUCUCCCCUCCCCCUCCUUCCCUCCUCCCUCCCUCUCCCGUCCUCCAGCUCCGCACUUUACCCAGCGACACGAGAACCAAAUUGUCUCCUCACCUUUUUUUUCCCAUCCCGACCCCCACUCCCUUGGGGCGCGAGCUCAGAGCUGCCCCUCAGCCCCCCUCCCACCUCAGCACCCUCAUUCCCCAUACGCCUCCUCAUCUCCACCCCCCAACCAGGUCGGACGCCUGGGUCCCUCGCUGCUGGGGGAGGGGGAGCAGUGAGAACUGGGAGCCACAAGGGUUUUCCUGGGGGGGUGCAGACAGGGGGGCUCAUCGUCCCCUCCCCAGUGCAUCGGAGAGUUGACCUAUCGUUAACAGAGCCGGCGACCAUGCGCACUCUGANCGCCCGGGCCGCGCCUCCUCCUCCUCCUCCUCCUCGCCGCCCCCCGCCCAGCCCGGCAGGCCCCGGGCCCCCACUUCUGCCUGCGCUGUGCCCCCCCCAGCCGCCGGCACGGCCCCGCCCCCGCUGCCCCGGUGGUGGCCCACGGCCCCCCGGCUGCCCGUGGUCAAGCUGGAGUCGCUGA